AGGCCCUUGGUGUUUCGAGCUCAAGAAUCUUCCUGUGACAAGUAAUGGAUUACUGGAUAGAGUCACAGAAAAUGGUGGAAUAUCAAGGAUAACUCGGAUCCAUCUCAAAAGAAUCACCAGAAACAUGCCGAUAAGCAUAGAAAAAAAAAGCGUUUGACUAAAGCUCGAGGGGCUUUCAGCUUCGUGAUCUUGUGAGUGGAGACAGAGGGAGUAAGCUGUGGUCGGAUUGAAAUGAGUAAUUCAUGCUUUUUCUUUGCGUUGCAAUUCUA